CAGGAAAAUGAAACUUUCAAGUGCCCUGGAUUUGAAAAGGCAUUUUUCCUCCUUUCAUUUGUCAAAAAAAAAAAAAAAAAAAAAAAAAGAAAGAAAAAAAGAAAAAAAAUUUUAAAUGAUUGUUUCACUGGAAACCUGGGGGAGAUCAUUUAUAAGGCGGAAAGUCCUUUUUUUCAAAAUGCCUUUGCUAAAUGUUUAGGAGAAAGGACAGUGGCCAGUGUGUGAAUCACUACCUGAUGCUGUGUUGAAGGGGCCUCUGGGCAGCUGGUUAAAGACCACUGUAUACUGAAGAUCCACAUCAGCUCCAGGUAACACAAAGGCUGCAGCAACUAGAAAGCACUUUAGCUCUGCCCAAGAUUUAACCCAAUUAACCUAUCUGUAACCUAUUAACCUAAUUAAAUCGCAGAGCUUCUCUGAGAGGGAGGUACACAUACAGACUCUCCCUAUUCAGGGGUAGAGGUUGGGAAGGAGGGCAUAGUUUAGGGAAUAUUGUAAUUUGAAGUCACAUUUUUUUUUUUUUUUUGUGGUAACAGAAUUGGGGCAUCAAAACACAAUUCUAAGGUGUUCCCUCAUGGCACAGCAAGAUAAGGAUCUGGCAUUGUCAAUGCAGCAACGUGGGUCACUGCUGUGGUGCAGGUUUGAUCCUUAGCUCUGGGACUUCCACAUGCUGUGGGUGAGGCCAACAACAACAAAGAAAAAUAGCAGAAAACAAAAAACAAAAAACAAACAAACCACAAUUUCAAGGUGCUCAAUGCUUUCCCAACAGGAGGCCGUGGAUUUAACUGAUAGGCUACCUUUAUACUUACCUAUGUCCCUGCCUUGUGGAAAUUUUGCCUUAAAUUAUUUCUUAGUGAUGUAGAGAGAUAUGGUAAGAGGCCAGGAGAGCCAUCCUGACUAGGACUGCUUGUCACAUUUUCCUUGCUUCAUAGAGACUUCAAAAAGAGGGCAAAGAAAAUCCUGUUACUGUUUUCCUUUCUGUACUAUUGUUUAACUCCAUUCUGUGCAAUUGUUUUCACACGGUGGCUGACUUCACUUUCUUUAAAAGGUGGGAUUUGUAUCCGUCUCCUUGCUAACUUGUGUAACUUUAGCAAAUUGCUCCAUCUUUCUGGGUCACACUUUACUCGCCUGGGUAAAACAAGUGGGUGGAUGGAACGAUUCCAUCAAGUUUUUCCCAGCUUGAAAUGGUUUGUAAUUUGGUAUCCUUACUUCUCCCUCCACAUCUUCUCCUUUGGAUUCCGUUUAUCAAUAAAUGUUUCUCUCUCUCUUUUUUUAAAGUUUUAUUGAAGUAUAAUUGAUUUACAAUGUUGCCAUGAUUCCUGUUGUCUAUCAAAGUGAUUCAGUUAUACAUAUAUACAUAUCUAUUCUUUCAGAUUCUUUUUCCAUCUAGAUGAUCACAGAAUAUGGGGUAGCAUUCCCUGUGCUAUACAGUAGGUCCCCAUUGUCCUGUUGUGGCUCAAUGGUUAACAAACCCAACUAAUAUCCAUGAGGACAUGGGUUCAGUCCCUGGCCUCGCUCAGUGGGUUAAGGAUCUGGCAUUGCUGGGAGCUGUGGUUUAGGUUGCAUACACAGUUCAGAUCCCAAGUUGCUCUGGCUGUGGUGUAGGCUGGCAACUACGGCUCCAAAUUUUUUUUUUUUUUAACAUUUUAAUUCAAAUAUACUUUAAUAAACAAAUUAAACCCACCAAACAAAAACGCCCACAAAAUCCCAGUAAUAAAAUCACAGGCUUUUACACCUCCUGGACAAAGAGAAACUAGAAUGAGAUAACAGGAUCCCAUGCAUAUGUCCCCUCCCCCAGCCUCACACCCCCAUUAUAAUAGUGCAGUUAUCUAGCCAACUCUUCCCCCAAAGCCCUCCUUGCCAGUCUUCCAAUGCAGUCAAUUUGGAGAUGAUUAUAGCCAAACUUUUAAGUUUUUUUUUUUUUUAAAUUUCAUUUAAUGGUACAGAGUCAUAAAUCCCAACCAUACCUUUAGGUACAUCCAAUGUAAACCACUUCUCCGAAUCCCCCACAAUUCCCCUUUUACUGCUUACAGCUCCAAUUGGACCCCUAGCUUGGGAACCUCCAUAUGCCAUAGGUGUGGCUUU
rnacentral:lncRNA from 1 species